CGAAAGCCUGACGGAGCAACGCCGCGUGUGGGAAGAAGGCCUUUGGGCUGUCAACCAUUUUUCUCAGGGAAGAAGUUCUGACGGUACCUGAGGAAUCAGCCUCGGCUAACUCCGUGCCAGCAGCCGCGGUAAUACGGAGGAGGCAAGCGUUAUCCGGAAUUAUUGGGCGUAAAGCGUCCGCAGGGGGCACAUCAAGUCUGCUGUUAAAGGCUGGAGCUUAACUCCGGUAGAGCAGUGGAAACUGGUGUGCUAGAGGGCGACAGGGGUAGAGGGAAUUCCCAGUGUAGCGGUGAAAUGCGUAGAGAUUGGGAAGAACACCGGUGGCUAAAGCGCUCUACUGGGUCGCACCUGACCCUGAGGGACGAAAGCCAGGGGAGCG
rnacentral:rRNA from 1 species